UAGGGAAUCUUCGGCAAUGGACGAAAGUCUGACCGAGCAACGCCGCGUGAGUGAAGAAGGUUUUCGGAUCGUAAAACUCUGUUGUUAGAGAAGAACAAGGACGUUAGUAACUGAACGUCCCCUGACGGUAUCUAACCAGAAAGCCACGGCUAACUACGUGCCAGCAGCCGCGGUAAUACGGAGGGUGCAAGCGUUAAUCGGAAUUACUGGGCGUAAAGCGCACGCAGGCGGUUUGUUAAGUCAGAUGUGAAAUCCCCGGGCUUAACCCGGGAAUUGCAUCUGAUACUGGUCAGCUAGAGUCUUGUAGAGGGGGGUAGAAUUCCAUGUGUAGCGGUGAAAUGCGUAGAGAUGUGGAGGAAUACCGGUGGCGAAGGCGGCCCCCUGGACAAAGACUGACGCUCAGGUGCGAAAGCGUGGGGAGCAAACAGG
rnacentral:rRNA from 1 species